rnacentral:rRNA from 1 species
GAAAUGCGAUAAGUAAUGUGAAUUGCAGAAUUCAGUGAAUCAUCGAAUCUUUGAAACGCACAUUGCGCCCGGCAGUAAUCUGCCGGGCAUGCCUGUCCGAGCGUCAUUUCAACCCUCGAACCUCCGUUUCCUCAGGGAAGCUCAGGGUCGGUGUUGGGG